GAUGAACGCUGGCGGCGUGCCUAAUACAUGCAAGUCGAGCGAACGGACGAGAAGCUUGCUUCUCUGAUGUUAGCGGCGGACGGGUGAGUAACACGUGGAUAACCUACCUAUAAGACUGGGAUAACUUCGGGAAACCGUAGCUAAUACCGGAUAAUAUUUUGAACCGCAUGGUUCAAAAGUGAAAGACGGUCUUGCUGUCACUUAUAGAUGUAUCCGCGCUGCAUUAGCUAGUUGGUAAGGUAACGGCUUACCAAGGCAACGAUGCAUAGCCGACCUGAGAGGGGGAACGGCGACACUGGAACUGGAACACGGUCCAGACUCCUACGGGAGGCAGCAGUAGGGAAUCUUCGGAAAUGGGCGGAAGCCUGACGGAGCAACGCCGCGUGAGUGAUGAAGGUCUUCGGAUCGUAAAACUCUGUUAUUAGGGAAGAACAUAUGUGUAAGUGACUGUGCACAUCUUGACGGUACCUAAUCAGAAAGCCACGGCUAACUACGUG
rnacentral:rRNA from 1 species